rnacentral:sRNA from 1 species
GGAUGUGAGGGCCAGCUGCCUGAGAAACCUGCUACCUCAUUGAUCACCAGUGUUGAUCUGGCUGAUCUGGCUAGCUUCAGGGUGGUUCCUUCCUCCCUCGAAGCUAAAGUUGUGCACUCAAAGAGGCAUCUUCCCCAAAUAGAGGCUUGGUCUUCGGUCAAAGGUAUAUGAGAAAGAACUCAUCACAAACCAAUCAGCCCUGUAAUUACUUGUAGAAACUGCCUAGGUGCAGGACUCA